rnacentral:rRNA from 1 species
AGUGAACGCUGGCGGUAGGCCUAACACAUGCAAGUCGAACGGCAGCACAGUAAGAGCUUGCUCUUACGGGUGGCGAGUGGCGGACGGGUGAGGAAUACAUCGGAAUCUACUUUUUCGUGGGGGAUAACGUAGGGAAACUUACGCUAAUACCGCAUACGACCUACGGGUGAAAGCAGGGGAUCUUCGGACCUUGCGCGAUUGAAUGAGCCGAUGUCGGUUUAGCUAGUUGGCGGGGUAAAGGCCCACCAAGGCGACGAUCCGUAGCUGGUCUGAGAGGAUGAUCAGCCACGCUGGAACUGAGACACGGUCCAGACUCCUACGGGAGGCAGCGGUGGGGAAUAUUGGACAAUGGGCGCAAGCCUGAUCCAGCCAUACCGCGUGGGUGAAGAAGGCCUUCGGGUUGUAAAGCCCUUUUGUUGGGAAAGAAAAGCAGCAGGUUAAUACCCCGCUGUUCUGACGGUACCCAAAGAAUAAGCACCGGCUAACUUCGUG